rfam:Lepisosteus oculatus linkage group LG3, whole genome shotgun sequence.
GCCAGCAGCUAUAUCACUCUGCAACUCACAACUGACAGCCCACUGAAGCUCAGCAGGUGUGAGCCUGGUCAGUACCUGGAUGGGAGACCUCCUGGGAAAAACUAAGGCUGCUGCUGGAA